GUACAAGGAGUACCGAGACACCACACUCAAUGGUGGUGUCGAGCAGAUGUACACCGAAAUGGCGUCACGCCACCGUGUCAGGUUCCCAUGCAUCCAGAUAAUCAAGACGGCCACCAUCCCUGCCAAGCUCUGCAAGCGGGAGAGCACCAAGCAGUUUCACGACUCGAAGAUCAAGUUCCCGCUUGUGUUCAAGAAGGUGAGGCCCCCAUCCAGGAAGUUGAAGACCACUUUCAAGGCAUCUCGCCCCAACCUCUUCAUGUAGAGGGUCAGUAAGUGAUGCAUGUUGGUGAUUUUGGUUAAAGUUUAUAGCUAUCUUUGGUAUUAUGUGUUUCAAUUUGAAUUUUGAUCUGCUCUCCUUUACUUUGCGAGCAGAUGGACCUAGUGUUCCUUGUUAACAUGGUUGGGGUAAAAACUUGACAAGCCCUUUUAGUUAAAUUUGUG
rnacentral:misc_RNA from 1 species